rnacentral:lncRNA from 1 species
AAAGUAUCACACUAUACAGACUGUAUUAGCCUUUGUUUUCUGGAGAAAUUCCAAGGGAAAAAUCUUAUAAUUGGGAUUUGGAACAAUUUUUACAUUAAUCAACAAUCCACAAUAAUUUCCAGCCACCUCAACUCUGCAGCAAGUUACAAGCUUUUUACUGCACCUGUCAUCCUGUCUGUAUCACAAAGAAAAGGUUACAUCAUUGGAAUUUCUGGUCAGCAAAGAAAAGGUGACACAAAAAUAACCAAUUCAAGAAAGACAGGAAAAUUCUGGUCAGCAAGAACCCUUAUCUCUGUUUUAUCAUCAGAUAGAUGCACUUCUACAGAAGGCAAAUAUCAAAAGCCUAACCAAGUCCAUAGACGAGAGGCAAAAUGCCUCUCAAAUAGGAACCAGUACAAGCUUAUGAAAAACUGCCCCAUGGAGCACAUCCACAUAUGAUUUGGCUAAUUUGCAUCAUCCCAGACAACACACAAAGACACAAACACAAAACAGACAACACACAAAGACACAAAUACUAACCAGUAAACAAACACAACAGAGUGAGGGAGGAAGGGUCCCAAAUGGAUCAAACAUAAAAGAAGCAUCCAAAGAAGAUUCAGAGGGGAAGAUUUUAUUGAUGAAGAAUAAAUUUGUUCAAGGAUGAAAUAAUUAGAAACAUCUUAGCUAACCCAGUCAGUUGUUUGUCAAGUCUAUUCCUUUGUAUAUCGUAUUUAUUUGCAGUGCUAAAACAUAAUGAAAUGCACCUUAUUUUCUCCCUAAAUUUUCUCUGUAACCAAACAGACUAAAUUUGCGAGAAAGAUCCUUACUUUACUAUAAGGUGGCCUUGCACUGUUUUUAAGCAGAGAAAGUGGAAGCUGUAAUCAAACCAACUACAACAGUAUCAGAAUAAAUACGAUACAAAUACAAGACGAAAGUUUUCAAAUUUAAGUGAGAAGAGAAUCAAAUUCCAAACCCUAACCCAAAAAUCAGUACAUGAGGUAAGAAGAAAGUGAAAGUUCGCCGUUUGGUUGCUGAAAAUCUGCGGCGAGAAAAUGUUUUCAAAGAACAGCACAGGCUCAGUUAGCUCUUUAUAUAGCACUGGUUUGCGCGGGCUUGAC